UGACCUCGGAUCAGGUAGGGAUACCCGCUGAACUUAAGCAUAUCAACG
rnacentral:rRNA from 1 species